AUUUAUAUAGUAUAAAUAAAACAUUAUUACAUUUAACUUCCAAUUAAAAAACUUAGUUAAAAAGAACUAAUAUAAAUA
rnacentral:tRNA from 1 species